AGUUGAUAAGCUUUAAGAAGCAAGUACUUUGAAAGUACCAGAUAAAGAUGAUUACUUUAUUAACUU
rnacentral:tRNA from 1 species